UGGUGAGUUGACGCUGAUCUUAUAUUCAGUAGUUCUUCUCGACUGUAUGUAAUGAAACCUAAGAUGACCUGGGGUACUAAUGUAAGAAAUAACAUGUAAAAAAACAAAAAACUGCAUAGUUUCUGAGGAACGCGAAGCGAGGCGGCCAUCUCUGUCGGCGCCGGAAGUACUGUGAAUUGUACUGUGAAUUGUACUGUAUGUGAGUGUGUGUAAAUGUGUCAGUCUAAAUGUGUGUGCAUGUUACGUGUGUGUGUGUUGGAGUGUGUGAAUGUGCAUAGAGACGGUGCAAAAAUAAAAGUAAUGUAUAGUACAAUGUAAUGUUUAGUACAAUGUAGGAUAUAAAUGCUAACAUUUGUUUUCUGUCGGUAUUGAUAUGUUGUACAUCAUCAGUAUGUUGUAAACGUGUUCAAGGGGAUUGAGACAGACAGGAACACAAUCAAACACAGACACGCAGGCAGACGGACUUAGAUAAGAUAGACAUCUGUCCUUGAACUCAGACCUACAGUGGGUGUGUUCAAUCUUGCUCCUCUCCAACCAUAUUUGUUUACCAGUGAUAUGGCCCCAUUGAUGACUCAAGCUACCGUUUUACUAGCUCUUGUCAUAAAAGACUUAGCAACAAUGCCAAACAUUCAAACACUGUGAAUGUACUCCUGUUCUCUAGUUCCUAUUCGACAGUCUCUGUCUCACUCACUGUCCUCUUUCAUGCAUCUGACCAACUACACCAUUAACAAACACAGUGGGAACUUUGUCUGGGACGAGAAGCAAAAGGUGAUCUAUUGACACGAGUCUUCCUGGGCGUUCACUUUGAUGCUGUAUUUGACUAUCCAGCUAUGGUAUUUCACCAAGGUAUUCCUGUAGCGUGGGUAUUUACUCGUGCUUGGUUCCAGGAGUGAAAGGCAAGCACAAUGCCUAUUCUUUUAGGUAUAAAUUCUACAUGUUUCCCUCUCAUUAGGAUAAUGGCUCAAUCCACUUGAGAAAACCCUGUCGGUCACAAAACAGACCAUGCAAAUGCUGUCGGAAUGAAGCAGCUAGAACAAUUAAUGUCAGUCUAAAAGCAAUGACUCAGAGCUGUCAGUCAUGUCCCACUCUGAGACUUAUGGCCAUCUCUGGCCCAGGUCCCCUGUACCAUACUCGUAUCAGUAUGCAAGAGACACAGCCAGGCUUGUCAGCAGGCCAAGCAUCCAAUCUUAUUUGCAGCAUGUGUCACGACUCAGGAGGCUGAUAUACUGCCGCUCAUAUUUCAUCACUGCCUUGAUAUGUCAGGCGUAUUUUUGCCCCCAAACAAAACUAACUCCAAGAACCUUAACAGUGUGGAUAAAGUGAAAAAAUCAAGUUGUCUGCAGUUGUACACACAAACAACAUUGUGACAGUUGAAAGUGUUUUCGCAAGAAGAGGCAGCGGCAUUGGAAUAGGUCUAUGACAUGACGCACAACCGAUACUGUAUGUGGCGACAUUCCUGUCUGUUUGAAUGGUCUUUGUCCCGCUCGCUGUCUUUCUCUCUCUCCCCCCUCCCCACAGGAAGUUGACCCAUCUGCUGGAGACGAUGCACUGAUACGGGGAAGGUGUGGGCUGACAUCGAGGAUGUGGUGAUCAAGGCUCUGGUCUCAGCCCACUCAGUGCUCCAGCACAGCUACCACACAUGCUUCUCGUACCACGCCGCCUCCAACACCGCCACCGGGGCCUACUUCGAGAUCCUGGGCUUCGACGUGCUCAUCGACUACCGCCUCAAGCCCUGGCUGUUCGAGAUCAACCACUCCACUAGCUUCACUACAGACUCCAGGCUGGACAGAGAGGUGAAGGACAGGCUGCUGUAUGACAUGAUGGUGCUGAUUAACCUGAGGGCCUGUGACCGACGCAAAGCUACUGAGGAAAAGAGAGGAGCAGGAUCAGAGACUGGCUGCAGCACAUCCGCUCCAAGGAGACACGGUGUGAGAGCAGUUGCAGGAGCCCCAUGAGAAACAUAGCCAGAGCAGGUGUCAGAGACUGGGCCUGCUGGGGGAGUCAGCAGGAGACGAGGGUAAAAUCCACAAAGCACCCCUCUGCCCCAUCCAUCCCAAUCCUCUGGCCUGCUCCGCUCACUUCCUCCCAGGGUCACCCAGGCGCUGAAGGAGGGGGAGGAGGGGGAGGAAGAGCAUCUCAGGGGGCUGCAGCUGAGGGCCAGCCUGCUCAGAGACCUGGGCAGACCAGGUGUUCGUCACAGUGCCACCUAU